rnacentral:rRNA from 1 species
AAACUUAAAGGAAUUGACGGGGCCGCACAAGCGUGGAGCAUGUUGGUUUAAUUCGACGCAACGCGAAGAACCUUACCAGGAAUUGACAUCCCCUGACAACUUAUGAAAUAGGCCUUCUACCUUCGGGUAGGACAGGGAGACAGGUGGUGCAUGGUUGUCGUCAGCUCGUGCCGUGAGAUGUUGGGUUAAGUCCCGCAACGAGCGCAACCCUUACGGUUAGUUGCCAGCGGUUAAAGCCGGGCACUCUAGCUGAACUGCCGUUGACAAACCGGAGGAAGGUGGGGAUGACGUCAAAUCAUCAUGCCCCUUAUGACCUGGGCUACACACGUGCUACAAUGGUUGGUACAACGAGUUGCGAGUCGGUGACGGCGAGCUAAUCUCUUAAAGCCAAUCUCAGUUCGGAUUGUAGGCUGCAACUCGCCUACAUGAAGUCGGAAUCGCUAGUAAUCGCGGAUCAGCACGCCGCGGUCGAAUACGUUCCCGGGCCUU